AUUGAACGCUGGCGGCAGGCCUAACACAUGCAAGUCGAACGAGUAGCGGACGGGUGAGUAAUGUCUGGGAAACUGCCUGAUGGAUGGGGAUAACUACUGGAAACGGUAGCUAAUACCGCAUACCAUCAGAUGUGCCCAGAUGGGAUUAGCUAGUCGGUGGGGUAUCGGCUCACAAAGGCGACGAUCCCUAGCUGGUCUGAGAGGAUGACCAGCCACACUGGAACUGAGACACGGGCCAGACUCCUACGGGAGGCAGCAGUGGGAAAUAUUGCACAAGGGGCGAAAGCCUGAUGCAGCCAUGCCGCGUGUAUGAAUAAGGCCUGCGGGUUGUAAAGUACUUUCAGCGGGGAGGCGUUACCCGAAGAGGAAGCACCGGCUAACUCCGUGCCAGCCGCCGCGGUAAUUC
rnacentral:rRNA from 1 species